UUAAUGGAGAGUUUGAUCCUGGCUCAGGACGAACGCUGGCGGCGUGCCUAAUACAUGCAAGUCGAGCGGGGUUAGUUAGAAGCUUGCUUCUAACUAACUUAGCGGCGGACGGGUGAGUAACACGUAGGCAACCUGCCCACAAGACAGGGAUAACUACCGGAAACGGUAGCUAAUAC
rnacentral:rRNA from 1 species